rnacentral:piRNA from 1 species
UGAAGCUUCCAGAGUGGCAGAGGUUC